rnacentral:rRNA from 1 species
CCUACGGGAGGCAGCAGUGGGGAAUAUUGGUCAAUGGGCGCAAGCCUGACCCAGCAACGCCGCGUGAAGGAAGAAGGCUUUCGGGUUGUAAACUUCUUUUUUCAGGGACGAAGCAAGUGACGGUACCUGAGGAAUAAACCACGGCUAACUACGUGCCAGCAGCCGCGGUAAUACGGAGGUGGCAAGCGUUAUCCGGAUUUACUGGGUGUAAAGGGCGUGUAGGCGGAGAGGCAAGUCAGAUGUGAAAACCACGGGCUCAACCUGUGGCCUGCAUUUGAAACUGUGUUUCUUGAGUACUGGGGAGGCAGACGGAAUUCGUGGUGUAGCGGUGAAAUGCGUAGAUAUUAGGAGGAACCCCAGUGGCGAAGGCGGUCUGCUGGACAGCAACUGACGCUGAGGCGCGAAAGCGUGGGGAGCAAACAGGAUUAGAUACCCGAGUAGUC